GGAAAUCAAGAUCUUUACUCGAUAACAAUAAGAAGAAUGGCAGUAUUCGCUCUCAUCAAGAGGAAAUGGCCUUCCAGAACUGCAGCUAUAGACACACUGACCAAUUUUCAUAUGAAAUGCCUGGUGAUAAACUACUUGAAACCCUUCAAGUAUCACAACACCCCAACGAGACUGAAGUGGAUGAAGUAAAAAGGGAAGAACUACACGCGAAAGAAACCACAUAACUAAAUCCUGUAGAGAAGCAAUAGCCCUGAAAGACAACUGCGAUUUUGUUCAUCAGAGC